CCUACGGGAGGCAGCAGUGGGGAAUAUUGGACAAUGGGCGAAAGCCUGAUCCAGCCAUGCCGCGUGUGUGAAGAAGGCCUUCGGGUUGUAAAGCACUUUCAGUGGGGAAGAAAGCCUUGGGGCUAAUACCCUCGAGGAAGGACAUCACCCACAGAAGAAGCACCGGCUAACUCCGUGCCAGCAGCCGCGGUAAUACGGAGGGUGUGAGCGUUAAUCGGAAUUACUGGGCGUAAAGCGCGCGUAGGCGGUCUGAUAAGCCGGUUGUGAAAGCCCCGGGCUCAACCUGGGAACGGCAUCCGGAACUGUCAGGCUAGAGUGCAGGAGAGGAAGGUAGAAUUCCCGGUGUAGCGGUGAAAUGCGUAGAGAUCGGGAGGAAUACCAGUGGCGAAGGCGGUCUUCUGGACUGACACUGACGCUGAGGUGCGAAAGCGUGGGUAGCAAACAGGAUUAGAUACCCCUGUAGUC
rnacentral:rRNA from 1 species